UUUCUACGAUGAUGAACUAAGAAGUAAAUUUACAUGUCAGACUUGAGAUUUUACAAUCAAAGAGAAACAGUUCUUGUUCACCGAGCAGAUU
rfam:Medicago truncatula strain A17 chromosome 6, whole genome shotgun sequence.